UUCUCACCAUAGGUUUACCUUCUCCUUAUGCAACUCUAUUGGAAUCUCCCUUUCCCAAGGCUUCGAACUCGACAUUCCUGCCUCAGCAACAGAGGAUAAAAAUCGUGAUGUGAUGGAUAUAGCACACAAGUGAGAAAUAUAAAUAUGGACUACAGGCUUCUAAAGAAUAAUUGAGCUUGCUGAGGAUCUGUGCCAGAUAUUGGAAAUGUCUAAGAUGUCAAGAGGAACUUGUAACAUCUGAACAUAACAAACCAAACAAGCAAACUCUUGCACCAUCACUACCACCACAUUUUACACAAAGGAAUGACACUGUAAAUGGAUUUCAAGCAAGCUAAAAAGAAAAAGAAACUGAUUAGACCUCAGAUUGUCCACUAAACGGGAUGACGGCCACCGCUGCAGUGGAAACACCAAAAAUGAAGAAGAGUGCCUCCAAGGA
rnacentral:lncRNA from 1 species